rnacentral:rRNA from 1 species
GCAAGUCGAGCGCGCCCUUCGGGGUGAGCGGCGGACGGGUGAGUAACCCUUGGGAAUAUGCCCUUCUCUAAGGAAUAGCCUCUGGAAACGGAGAGUAAUACCUUAUACGCCCUUCGGGGGAAAGAUUUAUCGGAGAAGGAUUAGCCCGCGUUAGAUUAGGUAGUUGGUGGGGUAAUGGCCUACCAAGCCUACGAUCUAUAGCUGGUUUGAGAGGAUGAUCAGCCACACUGGGACUGAGACACGGCCCAGACUCCUACGGGAGGCAGCAGUAGGGAAUCUUAGACAAUGGGGGCAACCCUGAUCUAGCCAUGCCGCGUGUGUGAUGAAGGCCCUAGGGUCGUAAAGCACUUUCGCCAGAGAUGAUAAUGACAGUAUCUGGUAAAGAAACCCCGGCUAACUCCGUGCCAGCAGCCGCGGUAAUACGGAGGGGGUUAGCGUUGUUCGGAAUUACUGGGCGUAAAGCGCACGUAGGCGGAUUAGUAAGUUAGAGGUGAAAUCCCAGGGCUCAACCCUGGAACUGCCUUUAAUACUGCUAGUCUUGAGUUCGAGAGAGGUAAGUGGAAUUCCGAGUGUAGAGGUGAAAUUCGUAGAUAUUCGGAG